UAGUCUCAUUGAAAUCAAGAAAUUCAAUCUUUCUUUAAGCCAUUUUUGUGUAUUGAUUUUUUUUAUUUUAUUUAUUUAGGUAUUUAUUUUUUUCAGCUUUUAGUUAGUGGUGAUUCGGUGUCUUCAUUAUUAAUCUUGGUGUCAUGGUGGAGAUGAAUCAUAAUCAAAGGUAUCUUGCUCAUAGUAUUUGGUGACCAAAAGUUGAAUGUUGACUUAACUUUAUUUAUAAUAAAUUCAGCUGUAAUUUGAAUCUCUUUAAAAAAUGAUAAUUGCAGUAUAAUCACUAUUGAUUGUUUUUUUCCUAAAUUUUUAAUGGGAUAAUUCUUGGUCAACUUUUUUUUAUUGAUUUGUAUAUAACUUGUUUUGGCAGAUGGGAACCUUAUAUCCCUUGACACCCUCAGCAUAUUAGGUAUGUAAUAUAAAAGGUUCGACUGUAUUAUUUCACCUUUAAGACAUUGUAAUUGUUUUUUAGAAUUUUUGGAGUAAAUUGAGGUAGAUCCCUUUGAUUACAAGUGUAGCACUUGAUUCCUGGUCAUUUGGGGCUUAAGAGAAGAAGGAGAAGAUUGAAGAGUGCAAGAAGGGAAUGAGAUCCAGAAUCUACUCUGUGAAAGGCCUCUAUUCAGUCGAGGGACGUUAGCAGCAGCAGCAGCAGUAGACAGCCAAUUCCCACACAGACCAGCAGCCUAUUUCGAGGUGAGUUUCCUUUCCAGUAGGAACGGGACUAAGGCACCAAGGCCGAC